rnacentral:rRNA from 1 species
GACGAACGCUGGCGGCGUGCUUAACACAUGCAAGUCGAACGGUGAACCAGAGCUUGCUCUGGGGAUCAGUGGCGAACGGGUGAGUAACACGUGGGCAACCUGCCCAGACUCUGGGAUAACUCCGGGAAACCGGAGCUAAUACCGGAUACGACUACUUCGGACAUCCGACGGUAGUGGAAAGUUUUUCGGUCUGGGAUGGGCCCGCGGCCUAUCAGCUAGUUGGUGGGGUAAUGGCCUACCAAGGCGACGACGGGUAGCCGGCCUGAGAGGGCGACCGGCCACACUGGAACUGAGACACGGUCCAGACUCCUACGGGAGGCAGCAGUGGGGAAUAUUGCACAAUGGGCGAAAGCCUGAUGCAGCGACGCCGCGUGAGGGACGACGGCCUUCGGGUUGGUAAACCUCUUUCAGCAGGACGAAGCGAAGUGACUGUACCUGCAGAAGAAGCACCGGCUAACUACGUGCCAGCAGCCGCGGUAAU